rnacentral:rRNA from 1 species
UACGUAGGGUGCAAGCGUUGUCCGGAAUUAUUGGGCGUAAAGAGCUCGUAGGCGGUCUGUCGCGUCGGAUGUGAAAUCCCUCGGCUUAACCGGGGAACUGCGUCCGAUACUGGAGGGCUUGAGUGUGGGAGAGGGAUGCGGAAUUCCAGGUGUAGCGGUGAAAUGCGUAGAUAUCUGGAGGAACACCGGUGGCGAAGGCAGCUCGCUGGGACGUGACUGACGCUGAGGCGCGAAAGCGUGGGGAGCAAACAGG